AUUUCAAUGUAAGUAUGUCCCAUUCAAUAUUUGGGACAUACUUAAAUUAAAA
rnacentral:pre_miRNA from 1 species